rnacentral:rRNA from 1 species
AUUGAACGCUGGCGGAAUGCUUUACACAUGCAAGUCGAGCGGCAGCGCGGCCUUCGGGCUGGCGGCGAGCGGCGAACGGGUGAGUAAUGCAUCGGAACAUGCCCAGUCGUGGGGGAUAACACUUCGAAAGAAGUGCUAAUACCGCAUACGUCCUGAGGGGGAAAGCGGGGGAUCGCAAGACCUCGCGCGAUUGGAGUGGCCGAUGUCAGAUUAGCUAGUUGGCGGGGUAAAGGCCUACCAAGGCGACGAUCUGUAGCUGGUCUGAGAGGAUGAUCAGCCACACUGGGACUGAGACACGGCCCAGACUCCUACGGGAGGCAGCAGUGGGGAAUUUUGGACAAUGGGGGCAACCCUGAUCCAGCCAUUCCGCGUGAGUGAAGAAGGCCUUCGGGUUGUAAAGCUCUUUCGGCAGGAACGAAACGGUGGGCUCUAACAUAGUCCGCUAAUGACGGUACCUGAAGAAGAAGCACCGGCUAACUACGUG